rnacentral:rRNA from 1 species
AGCAAUCUGCCUUUGGAUGGGGGAUAACAGCCGGAAACGACUGCUAAUACCGCAUGAUGCAGCGGGGUCGCAUGAUUUUGCUGCCAAAGAUUUAUCGUCCAAAGAUGAGCUCGCGUCUGAUUAGCCAGUUGGCGGGGUAACGGCCCACCAAAGCGACGAUCAGUAGCCGGACUGAGAGGUUGAACGGCCACAUUGGGACUGAGACACGGCCCAGACUCCUACGGGAGGCAGCAG